rnacentral:rRNA from 1 species
UGGGGAAUAUUGCACAAUGGGCGCAAGCCUGAUGCAGCCAUGCCGCGUGUGUGAAGAAGGCCUUCGGGUUGUAAAGCACUUUCAGCGAGGAGGAAGGGUUCAGUGUUAAUAGCACUGUUCAUUGACGUUACUCGCAGAAGAAGCACCGGCUAACUCCGUGCCAGCAGCCGCGGUAAUACGGAGGGUGCAAGCGUUAAUCGGAAUUACUGGGCGUAAAGCGCACGCAGGCGGUUUGUUAAGUCAGAUGUGAAAUCCCCGCGCUUAACGUG